UCGAAGUUAACUGCAAGUAGUUGCUGGCUCUCCGGAGCAUUGUGCACACUUGUAACCUUCACUUUUUCCCUUUGUGCACUUUGGCUAGUUACAUGUUGAGGUUAGAGAUCUUUUCGGAGGUCUUGUUUGAGCCUCAUUAUGUGCUAUGCACCUUUAUAAACGUAUGUCUAAGAAUGUGUUGUUUUUACUGGGUCUUAGUACCUGUAAAUCUAUAUA
rnacentral:misc_RNA from 1 species